AAGCGUGCGGGGAUUAAAGUGCUUACAUUUUUUGUACGCUUUUGCUAGGCAAACACUUGGAGAAUAAGUGGUGGGUAAGACGGUGCCAGCAGCCGCGGUAACCCCGGCGCCACAAGUGGCAUUCUUGUAUUUGGCCUAAAGCAUUCGUAGCCGGUUUGAAAAAUCCUUUGUGAAAUUGUCGAACUCAAUACGACAGUGUGCAGGGGACACUAUCAAGCUAGAGACUGGGAGGAGUUGGGGGUAUUUCUGGGGGAGCGGUUAAAUGUGAUAAUCCUAGAAAGACUACCUGUGGCGAAGGCGCCCAACUAGAACAGUUCUGACGGUGAGGGAUGAAAGCUAGGGGAGCGAUCCGGAUUAGAUACCCGAGUAGUCCUAGCCGUAAACUCUGUGAACUAGGUGUCGCAUAUUCUACGCGAAUAUGCGGUGUCGAAACGAAGGUGCUAAGUUCACCGCCUGGGAAGUACGGUCGCAAGACUGAAACUUAAAGGAAUUGGCGGGGGAAUACACCAGCGGUGCGGCGUGCGGUUUAAUCUAACUCAACGCAGAACACCUUACUAGAAGCGACGGCAGGAUGAAGGCCAGUCUGAAGGGCUUGCCUGACGAGCCGAGAGGUAGUGCAUGGCCGUCGUCAGCUCGUGUCGUAAGAUGUCCAGUUAAGUCUGGCAACGAGCAAGACCUGUAUCUAUAAUUGCUAACGGGCUCUUCGGAGUGACUGAGCACUUUAUAGGGACUGCCCUCGUAAGGGGGAGGAAGGUGCAGGCAACGGUAGGUCUGUAUGCUCCGAAUCUUCUAGGCUACACGCGCGCAACAGUGGUAAAGACAGUGGGAUGCAACACCGUAAGGUGAAGCUAAUCCUCGAAACUUUAUCGUAGUUUAGAUUGUGGGUACACUCACCCACAUGACAACGAAUCGCUUAAACCAGAG
rnacentral:rRNA from 1 species